rnacentral:rRNA from 1 species
UGGGGAAUUUUCCGCAAUGGGCGAAAGCCUGACGGAGUGACGCCGCGUGUGGGACGAAGGCCUUCGGGUCGUAAACCACUGUCAGUGGGAAAGAUGGAUAUCGGCGCGAUAACCGCCGGUAUUUGACGGUACCUGCAGAGGAAGCCCCGGCUAACUCUGUGCCAGCAGCCGCGGUAAGACAGAGGGGGCAAGCGUUGCUCGGAAUUACUGGGCGUAAAGGGCGCGUAGGCGGGAUGGCAAGUCGGUCGUGAAAUGCCUCGGCUCAACUGAGGAUCGUCGACCGAUACUGCCGUUCUUGAGGAUUGCAGAGGAGACUGGAAUUCCCGGUGUAGCGGUGAAAUGUGUAGAGAUCGGGAGGAACACCGGUGGCGAAGGCGGGUCUCUGGGCAAUUCCUGACGCUGAGGCGCGAAAGCGUGGGGAGCAAACGG